rnacentral:rRNA from 1 species
UACGUAGGUGGCAAGCGUUGUCCGGAUUUAUUGGGCUUAAAGGGUGCGUAGGCGGUUCUAUAAGUCAGUGGUGAAAUCCGGCAGCUCAACUGUCGAUGUGCCAUUGAUACUGCAGAACUUGAGUACAGACGAGGUAGGCGGAAUUGACGGUGUAGCGGUGAAAUGCUUAGAUAUCGUCAAGAACACCGAUAGCGAAGGCAGCUUACUAGACUGUAACUGACGCUGAUGCACGAAAGUGUGGGGAUCAAACAGG